GCUGAAACUCGCCUACAUGAAGCUGGAAUUGCUAGUAAUCACAGGUCAGCAUACUGUGGUGAAUACGUUCCCGGGCCUUGUACACACCGCCGUCACACCAUGAGAGUUGAGAAUACCCGAAGCCCAUGUCAAAGUGGUCGAAGGUAGGCUUGAUGAUUGGGGUGAAGUCGUAACAAGGUAAC
rnacentral:rRNA from 1 species